UGCAGAAUCCCGUGAACCAUCGAGUCUUUGAACGCAAGUUGCGCCCGAGGGACCCUCCCGAGGGCACGCCUGCCUCAUGGGCGUUAGAAGCCCAUCCACGCUCGGUUGCCUUGCCAUGUCCCCCCUCGUGGUGGUCAUGAGCGCCGGCCCGACGCGGACAUUGGCCCUCCGAACCGCGAGGCGCGGUGGGCCUAAGUGUGCGGCCGUCGUAUGUGGCCGGGAGCGGUGAGUGGUGGGCUACUGCGCACGCCACCCCCGAGCCCCAUGCCGACAGAGGGCUCUGUUUGACCCCCUAACGAGGAGCAUGCCGCCGCGGCUUCACGCCGUGCGGCAUCUUCGGACCGAUACCCCAGGUCAGGCGGGGCUACCCGCCGAGUUUAAGCAUAUAAAUAAGCGGAGGAGAAGAAACUUACAAGGAUUCCCCUAGUAACGGCGAGCGAACCGGGAGCAGCCCAGCCUUAGAAUCGCGGUGGCACUGCCGCCCGA
rnacentral:rRNA from 1 species